rnacentral:rRNA from 1 species
UCGACGGGUAGCCGGCCUGAGAGGGUGACCGGCCACACUGGGACUGAGACACGGCCCAGACUCCUACGGGAGGCAGCAGUGGGGAAUAUUGCACAAUGGGCGAAAGCCUGAUGCAGCAACGCCGCGUGAGGGAUGACGGCCUUCGGGUUGUAAACCUCUUUUAGCAGGGAAGAAGCGAAAGUGACGGUACCUGCAGAAAAAGCGCCGGCUAACUACGUGCCAGCAGCCGCGGUAAUACGUAGGGCGCAAGCGUUAUCCGGAAUUAUUGGGCGUAAAGAGCUCGUAGGCGGUUUGUCGCGUCUGCUGUGAAAUCCCGAGGCUCAACCUCGGGCCUGCAGUGGGUACGGGCAGACUAGAGUGCGGUAGGGGAGAUUGGAAUUCCUGGUGUAGCGGUGGAAUGCGCAGAUAUCAGGAGGAACACCGAUGGCGAAGGCAGAUCUCUGGGCCGUAACUGACGCUGAGGAGCGAAAGGGUGGGGAGCAAACAGGCUUAGAUACCCUGGUAGUCCACCCCGUAAACGUUGGGAACUAGUUGUGGGGUCCAUUCCACGGAUUCCGUGACGCAGCUAACGCAUUAAGUUCCCCGCCUGGGGAGUACGGCCGCAAGGCUAAAACUCAAAGGAAUUGACGGGGACCCGCACAAGCGGCGGAGCAUGCGGAUUAAUUCGAUGCAACGCGAAGAACCUUACCAAGGCUUGACA